rnacentral:rRNA from 1 species
GACGAACGCUGGCGGCGUGCUUAACACAUGCAAGUCGAACGGAAAGGCCUUUUCGGCGGUACUCGAGUGGCGAACGGGUGAGUAACACGUGGGUGAUCUGCCCUGCACUCUGGGAUAAGCCUGGGAAACUGGGUCUAAUACCGGAUAGGACCGCACUUUAGUGUGUGUGGUGGAAAGUUGUUUCGGUGUAGGAUGAGCCCGCGGCCUAUCAGCUUGUUGGUGGGGUAAUGGCCUACCAAGGCGGCGACGGGUAGCCGGACUGAGAGGUUGGUCGGCCACAUUGGGACUGAGGUACGGCCCAGACUCCUACGGGAGGCAGCAGGGGGGAAUAUUGCACAAUGGGCGCAAGCCUGAUGCAGCGACGCCGCGUGGGGGAUGACGGCCUUCGGGUUGUGAACUCGUUUCGCCAGGGACGAAGCGUUUUGUGACGGUACCUGGAGAAGAAGCACCGGCUAACUACGUG